rnacentral:rRNA from 1 species
UGGGGAAUAUUGGACAAUGGGCGCAAGCCUGAUCCAGCCAUGCCGCGUGAGUGAUGAAGGCCCUAGGGUUGUAAAGCUCUUUCACAGGUGAAGAUAAUGACGGUAACCGGAGAAGAAGCCCCGGCUAACUUCGUGCCAGCAGCCGCGGUAAUACGAAGGGGGCUAGCGUUGUUCGGAUUACUGGGCGUAAAGCGCACGUAGGCGGACUAUUAAGUCAGGGGUGAAAUCCCGGGGCUCAACCCCGGAACUGCCUUUGAUACUGGUAGUCUUGAGUUCGAGAGAGGUGAGUGGAAUUCCGAGUGUAGAGGUGAAAUUCGUAGAUAUUCGGAGGAACACCAGUGGCGAAGGCGGCUCACUGGCUCGAUACUGACGCUGAGGUGCGAAAGCGUGGGGAGCAAACAGG